UUCCACGCAGCCUGCGUGCGGGGCGGCCGGGGGCCGGGGGCUGCGGUGCCCGGGGACGUGGCCUCAGGAGGUGGGCAUUUCUCGCCCUCCCUGGGCUCCUCCGGGCCCGCACCCCACGUGAAGCGGGCGGAGAGGGGUGUGCGUGUGUGUGACUGGUGGGGAGAGUGAAUGGCGGAGGACUGAAGGGGUUCGGCUCCCCCAGCCGCCGCGUUCACCUCGGUCCAUCCUUCUCGAAGCGAGUCCUUGGAGGCUGGAGCGGCCGGCACCCUGGGCAGAGGAGGAGGAGGAGGACUCGCGCCGGGCGGAGCGUCAGGUCCCGUUUUCCCAUCCGGCCUCCCGAUACAAAGAUUACGGUGCAGAAGGAAAUUGCACUCGCCUCCUCCGCCCCCCGAUACCCAACACAAUGCACCAGCCGCCCGAGGCCACCGCGGCCGCCGCAGACAUUAGUGCUAGGAAGAUGGCGCACCCGGCGGUGUUCCCUCGAAGGGGCAGUGCUGGGGGCAGCGCCUCCGCGCUCAACGCAGCAGGUACCGGCGGGAGUAGCGCUGCCACAUCUUCGGAGGAUUUUCCCCCUCCGUCUCUGCUCCAGCCACCGCCUCCUCCUGCAGCAUCUUCCACGUCGGGACCACAGCCUCCGCCUCCACAAAGCCUGAACCUCCUCUCGCAGGCUCAGCUGCAAGCACAGCCUCUAGCGCCAGGCGGAACUCAGCUGAAAAAGAAAAGUGGCUUCCAGAUAACCAGCGUUACUCCUGCGCAGAUCUCUGCCAGCAUCAGCUCCAACAACAGCAUAGCGGAAGACACUGAGAGCUACGACGACCUGGAUGAGUCGCACACGGAAGAUUUGUCCUCUUCUGAGAUCCUUGAUGUGUCACUUUCCAGGGCCACCGACUUGGGUGAGCCUGAACGAAGCUCCUCGGAAGAGACGCUGAAUAACUUCCAGGAAGCUGAGACACCUGGGGCAGUCUCUCCCAACCAGCCCCACCUUCCUCAGCCUCAUUUGCCUCACCUUCCACCACAGAAUGUUGUGAUCAAUGGGAAUGCUCAUUCGCACCACCUCCAUCACCAUCAUCACAUCCAUCAUGGACACCACCUUCACCAUGGACACCAUCAUCCAUCCCAUGCUGCUGUGGCCAGUGCAUCCAUUCCUGGAGGGCCACCCUCAAGUCCAGCGUCUAGAAAACUCUCUACAACUGGAAGUUCCGAUGGUGGCACGCCAGUUGCACCUACUUCUGCUGUCUCAUCGACUGGCUCACCUGCACCUGUUAUGAGUAACAUUCGUGCUCCAAGUGCUGCAGGCAGUAUAGGUAUAAAUUCUGUUAUUGGCACUAAUGCAACGAAUAAUGCUAACGUUGUGGCUGGGGGUAGUUUCAGUCCUCAUGUGACAAGCAGCAUGGUUGGUAAUGCUAAUAUAAGUUCAAGCAAUAUUCCUGGCGCUGCUAGUGUAAGUGUUGGGCCUGGAGUUACCAGUGGUGUUAACGUGAAUGUUUUGAGUGGCAUGGGCAAUGGUACUGUUUCUUCCUCUGCUGUUAUUGCUAACAGUGUCCCUAAUGCAGCUGCAGGUAUGGCUGUGGGAUUGGUUUCAAGUCAGCAGCAACCAACAGUUAACACAUCCAGGUUCAGAGUUGUGAAGUUAGAUUCUACUUCUGAACCCUUUAAAAAAGGUAGAUGGACUUGCACUGAGUUCUAUGAAAAAGAAAACGCUGUGCCCGCUACAGAAGGUGUGGUGAUAAAUAAAGUGGUGGAGACUGUCAAACAGAACCCCACAGAAGCAUCUUCAGAGAGGGAGAGCACUAGUGGGAGCUCAGUGAGCAGUAGUGUCAGCACACUGAGUCACUACACGGAGAGUGUGGGAAGUGGAGAGAUGGGAGCCCCUUCUGUGAUGGUGCAGCAGCAACAGCAGCUGCCAGUGCUUCAGGGUGUGGCCCUCCAGCACGUGGAGUUCACUAGUCCUGCUCCUCAGAGUCUUUCAGCAGUUAGUAUACCACAGAGUAUUUCUCAGUCACAGAUGUCACAAGUACAGUUACAAUCUCAAGAACUGAGCUAUCCACAAAAGCAAGGUCUUCAAGCAGUACCUCUGCAAGCCGCCAUGAAUGCAGCGGCUGGGAUCCAGCCGUCGCCUGUGACCGCUGUUGGUGUAACUUCAGCUACAGGUCAGCAGCCUUCCAUUUCCAGUUUGGCUCAACCCCAACUGCCAUAUUCUCAGACGGCUCCUGCACUGCAAACCCCCCUCCCCGGGGCACCACCCCAACACUUACAAUAUGGACAGCAGCAGCCAAUGGCUUCUACACAGAUGGCUCCAGGCCAUGGUCAAUCAGUGACUCAAAUUCCUACUUCAGAGUAUGUACAACAGCAGCCGAUUCUGCAAACAGCAAUGUCCUCUGGACAGUCCAGUUCUGCAGGAGUGGGAACAGGAGCAACUGUGAUCCCUGUGGCCCAGCCACAGGGGAUCCAGCUGCCAGUGCAGUCCACAGCAGUACAGGUCCAACCUGCAGGGGCAUCUGGCCAGCUUAUUGGCCAGGCUCAAACGGCUGUGUCUGCUGUACCUACUGGUGGUCAAAUUGCAAAUACUGGUCAACAAGCAAACAUGCCUACUGCAGUGCAACAGCCUGCUCCCCAAGUUCCACCUUCAGUUACUCAGCAAGGUGCUCCUCCAUCUUCACAAGUAGCUCCACCUGCUCCAACUGGGAUUAUUCAUCAGGGAGUUCAAACUAGUGCUUCAAGCCUUCCUCAACAGUUGGUUGUUGGACCCCAGAGUACCUUGGUAACAACUGUGCCUCCCCAGCCACAGGGAGUAGAACCAGGAGCUCAAGGAGUUGUACCGCAGCAGCAGUUGCCUGCAGUUAGUCCUUUGCCCUCUGCUAGUAGUAUUUCUGUUGCAAAUCAGGUUAGUUCAACUGGUUCUUCUGGAAUGCCUUCUGCCCCAACAAACUUAGUUCCACCACAAAAUAUAGCACAACCACCUGCCACCCAAAAUGGUAAUUUGGUUCAAAGUGUUAGUCAAUCUCCCUUGAUAGCAACUAACAUAAAUUUGCCUUUGGCACAACAGAUACCACUAAGUUCUACUCAGUUCUCUGCACAAUCAUUAGCUCAGGCAAUUGGAAGCCAAAUCGAAGAUGCCAGGCGCCCAGCAGAACCCUCCUUAGUCGGUUUACCUGAGACUAUCAGUGGUGACAGUGGGGGAAUGUCAGCAGUUUCUGAUGGGAGUAGCAGCAGCCUAGCAGCCUCUGCUUCUCUUUUCCCGUUGAAGGUGCUACCGCUGACGACACCCCUGGUGGAUGGCGAGGAUGAGAGCUCUCUAUUUCAGUGCUUCUCUCCUACCAGAGGUGCAAGGAAUGAUCCUAGAGCCACAGAUACGGCCAAGACCACGGAGAGCUUUUGACGUCAGGGGUCUACUUUCUCCACUGACCCCUUGGAGACAGAAUAUCCAGCUUCUGGAGAGAGUGGGAAAGGAUAAUAAACAAGUAUCUUGCAAAUGGGAGACCGGUUUAUUUGUUCUCUAAUGCCCAGAUUUCUUUCAACUGGUAAACAUCAUACCUCUUCAGCAAAAGGAAUUCUUCUAGCAGAGCCCUCAUGGAUGACUUGAGUCAGACACCAGCAGCUGCAGUUUGGAAGGCAGUGGUGAAUGGACCCAUGCAGUAUGUCUAGAAGACACAAGGAUGAGCCAGCUACCUGAUUUGUUAUCCAUCAACUUUAAGAUUUGCUCUGGUUUAUUCUUGGUCUGAACAUGGAAAGGCUCAAAUAAUGAAAUAAUCUUUUCAGAUUGGAAUUUUACAUGGCCAUGAAAAUUCUUUCUAUUCAGAGGACUGAAAUAGAGGAAGUUUGAGAGACUCCUUUCUUUUAAAGCAGCUCUCUGUGUUUCACUUAAAAGAUCUGUGAGUCUGAAAAUAACCUUAAUAAAAGUAGGCAAACUUAUAAGUAGCAUAGAAAAUCUAAAAAUAAGUUGAUGAAACCUUGUUUUGUUACCUGACACUAAAAGGGACUAGAAAAUAAAGGGUGACCUUCUUAAUUAUUCCAGGGUCACUUUCAAUGUUUAAUAUCAGGAUAUGCUGUAGUUCAUCAUUUACUGGUCUUGAGCCUUAUUCUUGUUAUAUAUUUGUUAAAUUAGCAAAGUCAAAGAGCUAUCUUGGAGAUUACAGUAGCUUUGUCUGUCUUCUAUAGUAAUAAAUACCUAUUGAACUCGAGUUAUCACACUUACUCUACAUGGAAGGCUCACUAAAGUUUGAGUAGCACAGAGCAUCAUUUAUAGAAUGAAGGCAAUUUAAGUGUUAGAUAAGUCAGCAGGAGUGAAGAUCUGUUGCAGAGUAGUAACCCACACUGUUAGCUGGUAGUAGUUAUCAAGUUAUUUGUUUCUGUUUUUAAAUUUUUAUUUAUUUGUUUAUUUUGCUUGCCUGUUAACUGAUCAGUAAAAAGCUACUAAGAAAAAAAUGUAACAGUCACCUGAUGCUGCUAGUUUCUUUUGUUUUGGAAUAAAUUUUAAGAAAGGAAAUUGAGUUAGUGACACACAAACAGCUAAAGUGUUCUAGGAAUCUCAAAAGUUUUAGAAACCACAUUUGCUAAAAUAUAACCUGGCCUUUAGUCUUUCUUGUCUAUGAGAACUAUAUUUUCCAUUGAUUAUAAAUACACUUUCAGAAAAGUAAAAAUAAGUUUGAAAGUUGAAUUUGAACUAAAACUUUCCCCAGACAACUCUGAAUUCCUAUACAAUGAUACUUUGUGUUUUUGAUGGUUAAUAAAAGAGUUUAUAAGCAUACAAAAGACAAAUAAAAAUCUACUCAACGUUUUAGAACCCAGGGGAAUGAAAGUGAAAUUUGCUUAGGAAUUAAAUUAGUUGAAUUCUUUGACUCACAGUACAAACCCUUUUAUGGCCUGUGAGACUUCUGUUUCUAUUUUGAAGAUGAAAAGUGGUUUCACCUCUUAUCUUAUGCUUUAAUUGCAUUUAGCUCUGUUCCUUAAAAGUGUGCAAAAGAAAUGUAAGUGCAUUUCUAUUUACCUCAUGCCACUACAAGCUAUUUAAAAGUGAAACUCUUUGUAUAUUAAUGUGAACUGAUUUGUUUAUUUAAACUUUUAUUUUGAUGCAUUAAUCCUUUUAGAUUUUUUUAAACAGUAAUUUCCUGUUACAAUAU